AAAGCCGACACUGCAUUCAUUGUGGAUGUAGGCAUUGCUUGGGAAGGAGGACGCCCACUAAAGCUGGUCAACAAAAUGAAAUGCGACAAGUACAAAAUUGCCAUCCCGGCAAUUUCGGAAACAUUUCAUGUUGGCCACGCUGAGACGUAUGGCGUUAUUUUGGGCAGCCGCGGAUGCUGGCUAAAGAGCAACGACAAGGCUUUGACAUCAAUUGGGCUCAAUAUCACACGGAGGAUGAAAGAACACCUGAGCUGGUUGACAUUCGAGAACACGAUCCGAAUUUAUAACUCAUUCAUGAAGAAAUGAGGUUUUUUUUGUUGUUUUCAUUGUUCUUUUUACCAUUCUUUCUUGUUCCAUUGUUGUUAUUUGCUUUAAUUCUGCAUUUUACCGUCGGCAAUUCCAUCAUCAUUAUUACUGUUACUGUUAUCGUUAUUACUAUUGUUAUUACUUUUACUGACUAUUGUCAUUACGUUCUAAUUCGUUUACUUACGUUAUUGUUACUACUUCUUACUUUGCUCUCGCAAACGUUCGUUGUUGUUACUUUUGGACCAGGUUUAGAGAAAUCGCACGCAUAGCGGAACUGGACCGCUUAAGCCAGAAACAGUAAAGUAACAAUAGCCAAAUGCCUCGUCAUCUAAUUAGUGACGCGUAUGAAUGGAUCAACAAGAUUCCUUCUGUCCCUAUCUACUAUCUAGCGA
rnacentral:ncRNA from 1 species